rnacentral:rRNA from 1 species
GACGAACGCUGGCGGCGUGCCUAAUACAUGCAAGUCGAGCGGGCCUUCGGAGGUGCUUGCACCUCCGGACGGCCAGCGGCGGACGGGUGAGUAACACGUGGGCAACCUGCCUUUGAGGCCGGGAUAACACCGGGAAACCGGUGCUAAUACCGGAUACGUCCUCUUUCGCGCCUGCGAGAGGGGCGAAAGACGGUCUUUAAGGCCGUCGCUCAAAGAGGGGCCCGCGGCGCAUUAGCUAGUUGGUGGGGCAAGGGCCUACCAAGGCGACGAUGCGUUGCCGACCUGAGAGGGUGAUCGGCCACACUGGGACUGAGACACGGCCCAGACUCCUGCGGGAGGCAGCAGUAGGGAAUCAUCCGCAAUGGGCGAAAGCCUGACGGUGCAACGCCGCGUGAGUGAGGAAGGUUUUCGGAUCGUAAAGCUCUGUUGUGAGGGAAGAACAGCUUCCGGAGGAAAUGCCGGAGGUUUGCCGGUACCUCACCAGAAAGCCCCGGCUAACUACGUGCCAGCAGCCGCCGUAACAC